UAAAAUAUAAUUUUUAACUUAAGUGAUAAAAACAAAAAAAAAGAAAAUUAUAGUUUACCCUAGUUUAUAUUUGUGAGGGAAAAAAUACAUAGUUUAUAUUUUAUGUUCCAAACCAUAUCACUUGAAUAGAAUUGGGAAACAUGGUUACUCAACAAGUCCUGCAUGAGGUGCGUGUGGAUUUCUCCUCAACCAUUAAUGAAUAGAAUUGGAAAACAUGGUUGGCCAAGCUUUUUGUUAAUUAUAGUCAAUCCAGAUGUAAAGCGAUUAGCUAUUGGCUUUUGGGCAUUGUGGUUCAACCGAAACAGUAUCUACCAUGAAGGUGCAGGUAAAAGUGCACAUGGGGUCAUAUCUUUCAUUAAGG
rnacentral:lncRNA from 1 species